GAUGAACGCUGGCGGCGUGCCUAAUACAUGCAAGUCGAGCGAACGGACGAGAAGCUUGCUUCUCUGAUGUUAGCGGCGGACGGGUGAGUAACACGUGGAUAACCUACCUAUAAGACUGGGAUAACUUCGGGAAACCGGAGCUAAUACCGGAUAAUAUUUUGAACCGCAUGGUUCAAAAGUGAAAGACGGUCUUGCUGUCACUUAUAGAUGGAUCCGCGCUGCAUUAGCUAGUUGGUAAGGUAACGGCUUACCAAGGCAACGAUGCAUAGCCGACCUGAGAGGGUGAUCGGCCACACUGGAACUGAGACACGGUCCAGACUCCUACGGGAGGCAGCAGUAGGGAAUCUUCCGCAAUGGGCGAAAGCCUGACGGAGCAACGCCGCGUGAGUGAUGAAGGUCUUCGGAUCGUAAAACUCUGUUAUUAGGGAAGAACAUAUGUGUAAGUAACUGUGCACAUCUUGACGGUACCUAAUCAGAAAGCCACGGCUAACUACGUGCCAGCAGCCGCGGUAAUACGUAGGUGGCAAGCGUUAUCCGGAAUUAUUUGGGCGUAAGCGCGCGUAGGCGGUUUUUUAGUCUGAUGUGAAAGCCCACGGCUCACCGUGGAGGGUCAUUGGAAACUGGAAAACUUGAGUGCAGAAGAGGAAAGUGGAAUUCCAUGUGUAGCGGUGAAAUGCGCAGAGAUAUGGAGGAACACCAGUGGCGAAGGCGACUUUCUGGUCUGUAACUGACGCUGAUGUGCGAAAGCGUGGGGAUCAAACAGGAUUAGAUACCCUGGUAGUCCACGCCGUAAACGAUGAGUGCUAAGUGUUAGGGGGUUUCCGCCCCUUAGUGCUGCAGCUAACGCAUUAAGCACUCCGCCUGGGGAGUACGACCGCAAGGUUGAAACUCAAAGGAAUUGACGGGGACCCGCACAAGCGGUGGAGCAUGUGGUUUAAUUCGAAGCAACGCGAAGAACCUUACCAAAUCUUGACAUCCUUUGACAACUCUAGAGAUAGAGCUUUCCCCUUCGGGGGACAAAGUGACAGGUGGUGCAUGGUUGUCGUCAGCUCGUGUCGUGAGAUGUUGGGUUAAGUCCCGCAACGAGCGCAACCCUUAAGCUUAGUUGCCAUCAUUAAGUUGGGCACUCUAAGUUGACUGCCGGUGACAAACCGGAGGAAGGUGGGGAUGACGUCAAAUCAUCAUGCCCCUUAUGAUUUGGGCUACACACGUGCUACAAUGGACAAUACAAAGGGCAGCGAAACCGCGAGGUCAAGCAAAUCCCAUAAAGUCGUUCUCAGUUCGGAUUGUAGUCUGCAACUCGACUACAUGAAGCUGGAAUCGCUAGUAAUCGUAGAUCAGCAUGCUACGGUGAAUACGUUCCCGGGUCU
rnacentral:rRNA from 1 species